rnacentral:rRNA from 1 species
AGCGUACACGGUGGAUGCCCUGGCAGUCAGAGGCGAUGAAGGACGUGCUAAUCUGCGAUAAGCGUCGGUAAGGUGAUAUGAACCGUUAUAACCGGCGAUUUCCGAAUGGGGAAACCCAGUGUGAUUCGUCACACUAUCAUUAACUGAAUCCAUAGGUUAAUGAGGCGAACCGGGGGAACUGAAACAUCUAAGUACCCCGAGGAAAAGAAAUCAACCGAGAUUCCCCCAGUAGCGGCGAGCGAACGGGGAGCAGCCCAGAGCCUGAAUCAGUGUGUGUGUUAGUGGAAGCGUCUGGAAAGGCGCGCGAUACAGGGUGACAGCCCCGUACACAAAAAUGCACAUACUGUGAGCUCGAUGAGUAGGGCGGGACACGUGGUAUCCUGUCUGAAUAUGGGGGGACCAUCCUCCAAGGCUAAAUACUCCUGACUGACCGAUAGUGAACCAGUACCGUGAGGGAAAGGCGAAAAGAACCCCGGCGAGGGGAGUGAAAAAGAACCUGAAACCGUGUACGUACAAGCAGUGGGAGCACGCUUAGGCGUGUGACUGCGUACCUUUUGUAUAAUGGGUCAGCGACUUAUAUUCUGUAGCAAGGUUAACCGAAUAGGGGAGCCGAAGGGAAACCGAGUCUUAACUGGGCGUUAAGUUGCAGGGUAUAGACCCGAAACCCGGUGAUCUAGCCAUGGGCAGGUUGAAGGUUGGGUAACACUAACUGGAGGACCGAACCGACUAAUGUUGAAAAAUUAGCGGAUGACUUGUGGCUGGGGGUGAAAGGCCAAUCAAACCGGGAGAUAGCUGGUUCUCCCCGAAAGCUAUUUAGGUAGCGCCUCGUGAAUUCAUCUCCGGGGGUAGAGCACUGUUUCGGCAAGGGGGUCAUCCCGACUUACCAACCCGAUGCAAACUGCGAAUACCGGAGAAUGUUAUCACGGGAGACACACGGCGGGUGCUAACGUCCGUCGUGAAGAGGGAAACAACCCAGACCGCCAGCUAAGGUCCCAAAGUCAUGGUUAAGUGGGAAACGAUGUGGGAAGGCCCAGACAGCCAGGAUGUUGGCUUAGAAGCAGCCAUCAUUUAAAGAAAGCGUAAUAGCUCACUGGUCGAGUCGGCCUGCGCGGAAGAUGUAACGGGGCUAAACCAUGCACCGAAGCUGCGGCAGCGACGCUUAUGCGUUGUUGGGUAGGGGAGCGUUCUGUAAGCCUGUGAAGGUGUGCUGUGAGGCAUGCUGGAGGUAUCAGAAGUGCGAAUGCUGACAUAAGUAACGAUAAAGCGGGUGAAAAGCCCGCUCGCCGGAAGACCAAGGGUUCCUGUCCAACGUUAAUCGGGGCAGGGUGAGUCGACCCCUAAGGCGAGGCCGAAAGGCGUAGUCGAUGGGAAACAGGUUAAUAUUCCUGUACUUGGUGUUACUGCGAAGGGGGGACGGAGAAGGCUAUGUUGGCCGGGCGACGGUUGUCCCGGUUUAAGCGUGUAGGCUGGUUUUCCAGGCAAAUCCGGAAAAUCAAGGCUGAGGCGUGAUGACGAGGCACUACGGUGCUGAAGCAACAAAUGCCCUGCUUCCAGGAAAAGCCUCUAAGCAUCAGGUAACAUCAAAUCGUACCCCAAACCGACACAGGUGGUCAGGUAGAGAAUACCAAGGCGCUUGAGAGAACUCGGGUGAAGGAACUAGGCAAAAUGGUGCCGUAACUUCGGGAGAAGGCACGCUGAUAUGUAGGUGAAGUCCCUCGCGGAUGGAGCUGAAAUCAGUCGAAGAUACCAGCUGGCUGCAACUGUUUAUUAAAAACACAGCACUGUGCAAACACGAAAGUGGACGUAUACGGUGUGACGCCUGCCCGGUGCCGGAAGGUUAAUUGAUGGGGUCAGCGCAAGCGAAGCUCUUGAUCGAAGCCCCGGUAAACGGCGGCCGUAACUAUAACGGUCCUAAGGUAGCGAAAUUCCUUGUCGGGUAAGUUCCGACCUGCACGAAUGGCGUAAUGAUGGCCAGGCUGUCUCCACCCGAGACUCAGUGAAAUUGAACUCGCUGUGAAGAUGCAGUGUACCCGCGGCAAGACGGAAAGACCCCGUGAACCUUUACUAUAGCUUGACACUGAACAUUGAGCCUUGAUGUGUAGGAUAGGUGGGAGGCUUAGAAGUGUGGACGCCAGUCUGCAUGGAGCCGACCUUGAAAUACCACCCUUUAAUGUUUGAUGUUCUAACGUUGACCCGUAAUCCGGGUUGCGGACAGUGUCUGGUGGGUAGUUUGACUGGGGCGGUCUCCUCCUAAAGAGUAACGGAGGAGCACGAAGGUUGGCUAAUCCUGGUCGGACAUCAGGAGGUUAGUGCAAUGGCAUAAGCCAGCUUGACUGCGAGCGUGACGGCGCGAGCAGGUGCGAAAGCAGGUCAUAGUGAUCCGGUGGUUCUGAAUGGAAGGGCCAUCGCUCAACGGAUAAAAGGUACUCCGGGGAUAACAGGCUGAUACCGCCCAAGAGUUCAUAUCGACGGCGGUGUUUGGCACCUCGAUGUCGGCUCAUCACAUCCUGGGGCUGAAGUAGGUCCCAAGGGUAUGGCUGUUCGCCAUUUAAAGUGGUACGCGAGCUGGGUUUAGAACGUCGUGAGACAGUUCGGUCCCUAUCUGCCGUGGGCGCUGGAGAACUGAGGGGGGCUGCUCCUAGUACGAGAGGACCGGAGUGGACGCAUCACUGGUGUUCGGGUUGUCAUGCCAAUGGCACUGCCCGGUAGCUAAAUGCGGAAGAGAUAAGUGCUGAAAGCAUCUAAGCACGAAACUUGCCCCGAGAUGAGUUCUCCCUGACUCCUUGA